UGAGUCAGACCUUGGUAGCCUCCUUACUUGCUCCAUUUGCUUCAGAGAGAGAAGUGCGGGUGUGCGGUUUAGUGAAGGAGCAAGGCUGAUGUGAAUAGAAGAACCCAAGGUAGAGCAGGAAGAGAAAUCCAGCUAGAGAAAGAGGUGGAAGUCAAAAUAAGUAGACUCUUAUUUUAAAUUUUUAAUGGCUUCUUGGUGGCUUCAAGAUAAAAGAUAGACAAUGAGGAGCUUUGUGUUUGGGAAAAGAAUAAAAGUCAACUGUAGCAAAACCUCUCAGAAGUAGGAUUUAUACACAGUUCUCAAAGUAUGCACAUGAAAAUGUAAUUUCUUGGGAAAGCAGCAAACAGAAAAGAAUCAAACCGCAGUUGUGUGUGGCAAGGAUAAAUAUGCAACGCAUCAUCAAUAGGAUUUGUUGGGUGAAUAAAAAAGCCUUUUAGCCAACAAUAUGUAAGCAGAAGAAUGGAGCAGGAGUUAGAGAGAACCCUCAAGCAAUAAUGGAGGCCACUGGAGAGGCAAGACUGCCAAAGGCUAAGUUAUUGACCCAGUAUUUUUAAAACUGCCUCCGAAAAGAAGCCUGAAUGAAAGAAAAUAAUUUGUGCUAUUAGAAUGUAUUUUUCCUUUGUGUUCCUAUCUACUUCCUUCACAAGCUAUUUUUGAUUGAUUUUUCUGAGAACAAAAUAAAUAUCCACAGUGAGUCACAAAUGUAAAUGUAUUGAGCACCCAAUGUAUGGAGCCCUUUCUCCAAGACCUCGCUGCCGUAAAUACAAAUAUAACUGAGAACUGGUGAUUUGAAGAUGAUUCUUGGGAUAGCGGGCUAGGCGGCACUUCACACUGGCUUUUGGGGCCACAUAGGGGUGUAAUCAUGUUAUCACCCUGCACAACCCCAGAGGGUACCAUACACAACCCAUUUGACCAAACAUGGCAGUCCUGAAAGGAAUGAUGAUUGAAAGCCAAGACUGGGCUUUGGCAAGAAAACCACCUCUGAAUUACCAACUCAUUGUCUAUAAUGUAAUGAUAGCAUCUACCUCUUAGUAAUUUUGUGAACAUUAAAUGAAUAAAGCAUGACAAAAGGCCUA